rnacentral:tRNA from 1 species
UCCCCCGUAGCUCAAUUGGCAGAGCGCCCGGCUGUUAACCGGUAGGUUAUAGGUUCGAGUCCUAUCGGGGGAG